rnacentral:rRNA from 1 species
GAUGAACGCUGGCGGCGUGCCUAAUACAUGCAAGUCGAGCGAACAGACGAGGAGCUUGCUCCUCUGACGUUAGCGGCGGACGGGUGAGUAACACGUGGAUAACCUACCUAUAAGACUGGGAUAACUUCGGGAAACCGGAGCUAAUACCGGAUAAUAUAUUGAACCGCGUGGUUCAAUAGUGAAAGACGGUUUUGCUGUCACUUAUAGAUGGAUCCGCGCCGCAUUAGCUAGUUGGUAAGGUAACGGCUUACCAAGGCAACGAUGCGUAGCUGACCUGAGAGGGUGAUCGGCCACACUGGAACUGAGACACGGUCCAGACUCCUACGGGAGGCAGCAGUAGGGAAUCUUCCGCAAUGGGCGAAAGCCUGACGGAGCAACGCCGCGUGAGUGAUGAAGGUCUUCGGAUCGUAAAACUCUGUUAUUAGGGAAGAACAAAUGUGUAAGUAACUAUGCACGUCUUGACGGUACCUAAUCAGAAAGCCACGGCUAACUACGUG